GCGAUGCGGCGGGUAGGUAAUAUUCGAUAUUUAGCUUAUAAUAGUUGAUUAUCUUCGUUAUAAUGUAAAUAACAUAUCAUACUUGCAACAUAGAGAACAAAAAAAGAAUAAGAAAAAUAAAACUGUAAGAGAAUAAAAUUUGAUGCAUAGUUAAACUGAAGAAAUAUUUGAGAUUUUAUAAAAAAAAGCUAAAGAAAGACGAAAUAGUAAAUACAUAAAAGAAUUAAAAAAAUUUUGAAUAACAAACAAAUAAAAGUAUAAGCAAUUAAUGCAACAGCAGCAGGAGUGACCAUAAAUACAAUAAAAUUGAGAGUUGUAGAAGUCGAGGAAAGAGUGUAAGAGUUGGCUAAAAGAAAAGACAAUAGUCAGUAAAGAAUUAAAGAAAGAAUGAAAUAGGACUAAUAGGAAAAGUUGGUUAAGAAAUGUUACUAACCUGCUGUCCCAAAAAUAUGCGAUUGCAGUAGUACAAAAAUCAAGUGAAGUAGCAAUUUACAAAAUUAAUUAGAAUAUAUAAGUUGUAGAACUUAUAGUCAAAUAAUUUUAAAUAGGAAUAGUAAGAAAACAUCAUCACAACAAUCGAAAAAAUUAAUAUACAGAACACACUGGUUGCAAUUAUUUCACAAUUUCCAUCCUAGUUAAUUUACUUUGUAAAAUAUGAGUUAAGCCGAUAGAUAAGUUAAGCUGACAGAUAGGGCGGCCACAAAUACCAUACAAACCCAGAAUUAAGCAAAAUAGUUAAACUGGCAAGUAUUUCAUACAAAAGCCCAAAUAUAAGAAAAUACUGACAUGUCGACAAAAGGAAAUAGAAUAUAAUCAGAAAGUAUACCUGCCUAAAUUAAGGAAAUACCUCCACGUGGACUAAAGAAAACCUGAUUUCAUCAAGAAUAAUAUGUAAAUAAAUGGAAGGUAAUGAAAGUAUUUGGUAUACAAAAGAAGGAAAGAAUGAAUUAAAACUAAUAGUAAAAUUGCAAUAUCUUUUUUUCAAUCCACAUAUACAGUAGAUGAAACAAUAGUAGCAAAAGAUCAAGUAAAGCAGCAACUUCGAAAAUUGAUUAUAAAAGUAAAAAAAAUAUCAUCACAACAAUCGAAAAAAUAUAAAGUGAAAUAAAAUGAAGGAGCAGCACCUAAGGUUAAGUAGAAGCUAGAAAAAUAUCAGCAAGAACUUGUAGUAAGAAACGAUACAGAAAAAAAAGGAAAAAAAAAUGCAAACCUAAACUAAUGGUAAAAUAUACAUCAUAAGGAGUAUAAGCAGUAGUAGUAGAAAUUUGAGCAAAUCGAAAAAGAUCAACAGGUAGUAAAAUUCUAUUUUUACUAUAGGCUCAGACAUGUAAUGAGUAUUAUCAAUAGUCAACAAUAGUAUUUUUCUCAUUUCAGAAGUCUUCGAGAAAAUGUGCCACGUAUAGUUAUAUGUUCUCAAUAGCUUAUGUAUUUCUUGUAGGGAGUAAUCACCGGUUACAUUUAUUUAGUAACUGUCAUCCUAGUUGAUACCCAACCAUCAGAGAAAUAGAGGUUUUUUUGCCGCAAAUAAAAUUUUUAUGAAAGCAUAUUAUAUAGUCGGCAAGAAGGGACUGCAGAGAAUAGAUCCGAACCAUUUUCAUGACCGGAGGGGAUCAAUAAGCCGAAACGAAGUGUCGCUAAUGGGAACGGCGCGACAGGAAUAAGGGCCGACCAUGAAUUCGGCCCAAUAUUCCGUCCAGAGAGGGCACGGGCGUCGGAGCGGCAUCGAGGGGGGCAAACGAAAUGAAGCGUCGCUAAUGGGAACAGGCGCAACGGGAAGAAGGCCCGACGAUGAACUCAGCCCAACGUUCCGUCCAGAGAGGGAACAGGAGUCAGGGCGUCAUCUAGAAGGGCGAGCGAAGGAGCCGGAGGUGGAAGACGA
rnacentral:lncRNA from 1 species